CCGCGAUAGGUCAAGAUUUCUGGAAUGGAUCCUGGCUUAAAUCUACAUGGCCCCUGGAUUGGACUGCGGCCGAUCAGGCUGUUGGUGAGGUAAUGGCCCACCAAACCUAUAACCGGUACGGGCUCUGAGAGGAGAAGCCCGGAGAUGGGCACUGAGACAAGGGCCCAGGCCCUAUGGGGCGCAGCAGGCGCGAAACCUCUGCAAUGGGCGAAAGCCUGACAGGGUUACUCUGAGUGAUUUCCGUUAAGGAGACCUUUUAGCACCUCUAAAAAUGGUGCAGAAUAAGGGGUGGGCAAGUCUGGUGUCAGCCGCCGCGGUAAUACCAGCACCCCGAGUGGUCGGGACGAUUAUUGGGCCUAAAGCAUCCGUAGCCGGUUGUGCAAGUCCUCCGUUAAAUCCAGCCGCUCAACGGAUGGGCUGCGGAGGAUACUACAGGACUAGGAGGCGGGAGAGGCAAGCGGUACUUAGUGGGUAGGGGUAAAAUCCCUUGAUCCAUUGAAGACCACCAGUGGCGAAGGCGGCUUGCCAGAACGCGCUCGACGGUGAGGGAUGAAAGCUGGGGGAGCAAACCGGAUUAGAUACCCGGGUAGUCCCAGCUGUAAACGAUGCAGACUCGGUGAUGGGCUAGCCUCGUGUCAGCCCAGUGCCGCAGGGAAGCCGUUAAGUCUGCCGCC
rnacentral:rRNA from 1 species